GACGAACGCUGGCGGCGUGCUUAACACAUGCAAGUCGAACGAAAAGAGGGGAAGAGCUUGCUCUUUUCAGAAUUGAGUGGCAAACGGGUGAGUAACACGUAAACAACCUGCCUUCAGGAUGGGGACAACAGACGGAAACGACUGCUAAUACCGAAUAAGUUCCAAGAGCCGCAUGGCCCAUGGAAGAAAAGGUGGCCUCUACCUGUAAGCUAUCGCCUGAAGAGGGGUUUGCGUCUGAUUAGCUGGUUGGAGGGGUAACGGCCCACCAAGGCGACGAUCAGUAGCCGGUCUGAGAGGAUGAACGGCCACACUGGAACUGAGACACGGUCCAGACUCCUACGGGAGGCAGCAGUAGGGAAUCUUCCGCAAUGGGCGAAAGCCUGACGGAGCAACGCCGCGUGAGUGAUGACGGCCUUCGGGUUGUAAAACUCUGUGAUCCGGGACGAAAAGGCAGAGUGCGAAGAACAAAC
rnacentral:rRNA from 1 species